GAUGAACGCUGGCGGCGUGCCUAAUACAUGCAAGUCGAGCGAACAGACGAGGCGCUUGCUCCUCUGACGUUAGCGGCGGACGGGUGAGUACCACGUGGAUACCCUAUAUAUAAGAAUGGGAUCACUUCGGGAAACCGGAGAUAAUACCGGAUAAUAUAUUGAACCGCAUGGUUCUAUAGUGAAAGACGGUUUUGCUGUCACUUAUACAUGGUUCCGCGCCGCAUUAGCUAGUUGGUAAGGUAACGGCUUACCAAGGCAACGAUGCGUAGCUGAUCUGAGAGGGUGAUCGGCCACACUGGAACUGAGACACGGUCCAGACUCCUACGGGAGGCAGCAGUAGGGAAUCUUGCGCAAUGGGCGAAAGCCUGACGGAGCAACGCCGCGUGAGUGAUGAAGGUCUUCGGAUCGUAAAACUCUGUUAGUAGGGAAGAACAAAUGUGUAAGUAACUAUUCACGUCUUGACGUUACCUAAACAGAAAGCCACGGCUAACUUCGUG
rnacentral:rRNA from 1 species